ACCUCAUCACCGUGCACAUCAGCAAAAUAAAAUGAAAGCAUGAUAUAUUACUACUACAUAGACCAAUUUUUCUGAGAAAGUCAUGUGUUGGUGGACCAAGCACUUCAUCAAGCUACUACUAUAAAGAAAUAAUUCACAUAAAUUUUGCUAUGGUAACCGAGAACUCCUCCUCCACAUUCAUCCACUUCUUCUCCACAGAAAUAAGAAGGUACUCUUGCUGCAGAAUUUAACACACACCCCUUCCAAUAUGCUAAUGACCGUCCACUUUGCUGCAUCCAUUCCAGCUGCACUCUCCUUUUCUCCUUCUUCAACUACGUUCCCUUCUCAUCAAAAAUCACUUCUCCCCUUUGUAACAAAUCCUUCUCUUCCUCUCUACUCUUUAGCAAGCAAAUAAGUGUGUGGUUCCACUUCCUUCCAACAAAAACAAAUCAACACAUCCAAGACAGUAGAUUCCUAAAAUAGAUGGUGAAUCAAGUCUACAAGUACUACUAUACUUCUAAAUGAAGUGAACGUGUUCAGUGGUUCCAAACAAGACAGUGUGCUUCCUUCACCAAGGUUACAGAAGGCUAGAAGAGUUUAUAUAAAGAUGCAGAAAAUCAAUUGGAAAAUGCCAUCAGAAUUCAACAUAAACAUUAUCUAUUCAUUCAACAUGAAAUACAGUUCCAGUUCUCUUCAAGAAAAACAUUCAAAGUAAAAAGAAACAAACAAGUGUUGUCUGCUGCCUCUUGGCCGUGUGCCUCCUAAUAGAACGUGCUCCAGUGUCUGAACAAUCAAACCAGAAGCUUCCUUCCUUCUCAAUCCAUGCUGGGAGUCAUCUCUGUACGUUGUUUUUGGGAAGAAAUGGGAUUGAAUGAUGGAUCAAAAAAACUGCCGAGAAGAAGGAGUUAAGAGACCUCCAAAAUCAGCAUGUGUGUUGUCUCUUUGUGCCCAUAGACUAGCGGCUGGUCUCCCCCUAGCAGCUAGCCUUUCCAUUUUUCUUCAAUCAAUCGCCUCUUUUCUGCUUCCUGCUCCCUACUCCUGUUGUGUGCUUGGACGUUUCCAGCCAGCUGGACACACGGGUGUUUGGUGCCACAUAUGCUAUCAUGGAUUUGGCACUUCAUCUUAGGUUGACGUGGUGUUUGUUGUUGCUGUGUGCACCAAAAAUUCAAUCCGUGCAUUUCCAUUAGAAAUUUCAAUUGGAAAUUAAUAAUGGCUGGCUUCUUUCCCUCUGCAAAAUAAAAUUCAUCUUUGUUUCUCA